UACAGAGGUCCCAAGCGUUGUUCGGAUUCAUUGGGCGUAAAGGGUGCGUAGGCGGCGCGGUAAGUCGGGUGUGAAAUCUCGGGGCUUAACUCCGAAACUGCAUUCGAUACUGCCGUGCUUGAGGACUGGAGAGGAGACUGGAAUUUACGGUGUAGCGGUGAAAUGCGUAGAUAUCGUAGGGAAGACCAGUGGCGAAGGCGGGUCUCUGGACAGUUCCUGACGCUGAGGCACGAAGGUCAGGGGAGCAAACGGG
rnacentral:rRNA from 1 species